rnacentral:rRNA from 1 species
UGAGCAAUCUGCCCUUCUCAUCGGAAUAAGCGUUGGAAACGACGUCUAAUGCCGAAUACGACCUCCUUUCGCAUGAUCGGAGGUGGAAAGCUCCGGCGGUGAAGGAUGAGCUCGCGGCCUAUCAGCUAGUUGGUGUGGGUAAUGGCCCACCAAGGCGACGG